GAUGAACGCUGGCGGCGUGCCUAAUACAUGCAAGUCGAGCGAACGGACGCGAAGCUUGCUUCUCUGAUGUUAGCGGCGGACGGGUGAGUAACACGUGGAUAACCUACCUUUAAGACUGGGAUAACUUCGGGAAUCCGGAGCUAAUACCGGAUGAUAUUUUGAACCGCAUGGUUCAAAAGUGAAAGACGGUCUUGCUGUCACUUAUAGAUGGAUCCGCGCUGCAUGAGCUAGUUGGUAAGGUAACGGCUUACCAAGGCGACGAUGCAUAGACGACCUGAGAGGGGGAUCGGCCACACUGGAAGUGAGACACGGUCCAGACUCCUACGGGAGGCAGCAGUAGGGAAUGUGCCGCAAUGGGCGAAAGCCUUGCGGAGCAACGCCGCGUGAGUGAUGAAGGCCUUCGGAUCGUAAAACUCUGUUAUUGGGGAAGAACAGAUGUGUACGUAACUGUGCACAUAUUGACGGUACCUAAUCAGAAAGCCACGGCUAACUACGUG
rnacentral:rRNA from 1 species